UCUAACCUUCAGAGAACAUCCGCCCUCCUCCGCCACCGAAAUUACCUCACGGCGGUGCCGGUGAUCCAAACGCCCUCAUCUUUACGCCAUCAAACCCCCACAACCUUCUCAUUCCAAUCCCAUGCUCACCUCCCUUCGAAUCAAGCCCGGAUGCCUCGAAUCUCGAUUUUAAGUCAAGCACCCUAGCCGCCGCCACAAGAUCCCCGGUGGAACCGUCCCAAAUUAACACCCAUUCACCUCCUUGACUCUCUCACCCCAAAUCCAUGACUAGAUUUACUCAAAGUUUACCCUAGAUUCUCGAAUCUUAAAUCCGAGGACGAACCUUACAAAUCCAAAAAAACAAAAAAAAUAGGGAAAUGGAGUCCUCAUCAGCGGAUUGGGUUUAUUUAGACUCUAUUCGUGUGUUUUGCUAAAAACACACAAAUAAGGUCAAGAUGGACCGAAAUUAGAGGAAUUCGAAGAAUUCAAGUCCGGAGCUCAAAUUUGACAAUAAGUCCGUUUACUUCCAAGUUAGUUCUAAUUCUUAUUUUGGUAUUGACAUCUCUUCUUCUUUCCUUUUCUGUUAGUUUGAAAUUUCCAAAAAAAAAUAAUAAAGAAGGGAAUCUGUUUUUAAGUGUGAAACCUGUUCUGAUUGUUUUCUGUUGAUUUUUUUUGCUCCUAAUCACACGACAAUGUCAUUCAAUGUGUUUAGUUGUUUCUUUUGGUCAAUUAUCGAUUUUGAUUAUUAGCUUGACUGCACUGUUUAGCCGAAACUCAUAAUAGUUAAACUCUUAGUCACUGGCUGCUUAUUUGUAUGCUAUAUCGUCUUGUUUGAUAAUUAAGGAGUGUCAGUGAUUUUCCUUAAUUAAGUAGUCAGUUCAGAUGAAACUAAUGAACCGUUAGAAUAAUGAAAUUGGGAACUGUUUAAACUAAUGAAAUAGUUUAAUCAGUAAUGGGGGUUGAUGAUUGUUUAAAACACUGUCAGAAAAAUAGAAAUCACAUGGGCACCAUUUCACAAGGUUUGAAGGAAUUGAAUAGAAAAAUAGGCUGCCGAUACUUAAUUGAAUAGGAAAAUAGGCUGCCCAUACCCCUGUAAUUUAAUAAAGAAAGAAACAAGGGAUUUGUAAAUAAAUUGCUAUCAACUCUCAGAUUCAAGGGAUGAUCUUAAAUACUAAAAUUGACUUCAUGAUUCAGUUAUUAGCCACUUUAGAUAGCUUCACAUGACUGAUUAUGCCAAAUCUAUGUGAUAUAUGAAAUUGAAGUAGUAUUUAAGUAGUACUUUCGAAUGAGCAUAUGGGUAGAAUCUGAUAGUAAAUGUUCACGAUUAUCAAAUUAGCCCAUUAGGUUUGAUAGUUUAACUUAGUUAGUUAUACUUUAGUUUGUUCAAUACACUCAGAAUAUUACAAUGAUUCGUUCAAUGACUGCUUGAUGAAAUCGGAGAGCAUCUUGGUCUGUUUAAUUAAUUGAGCUUGACGGCUCAUUGUUGAAAGUGUAGGAUCAAUUAGGCCAAUUUUCACUUAUUUGGACUUGAUUGAAAGAGUUCAAUUCAUAAUCUAAUACAGUAUAAUUCAAUUCUUAAUAAAUUAGGACUUUUCUUUUAUUUGUAGAGACAGUGAAAAAUAGAAAAUCAUAGAUACUUUUAAGAUGGGUUUUUAAAAAAUGAGAUGAGUGUCGCCAAAUAAAAAUGCAAAUUGUGGUGCCCUCGAUAAUAUUAUAUUAAAAUACUUAGAUUCUGGGACUUUUCCCAAAACAAUGUCGUGUUAGACUCUUUAGGAGCGAUUUAAAUAAAAUUACAUUCUCAAAUACAGGUGUGCAUUUCAUGUGACCCAAAUCCAAAUCAUAAAAUAUUGUAUAAAAAUGAUUCGGGUGCAUUUCAUGUGACGUGAUCCGGAAACAUAUUUUUUAAACGAUGUUUACUUUCUUAAAAAUUUUAAUUAAAGCGGUAAACAAUCUUUAAAAUUGCACAAUAUGAUAACAUGUAUUAAAAUCAUAUAUCAAGCCAUUUAUAAUAGUUUAAGCGUCUGUGCUAGAACUACGGGAUCCGGAGGUGCCUAACACCUUCCAUCGGGUCAACAAAAUUCCUUACUUAGAAUUUCUGGUUCGCAGACUUCACUUGGAAAGUAAAAAAUUUCCUCGAUUUGGGAUUUAAGAUAAACCGGUGACGUGGGACACCAAAAGCCAAUCAUAUCCUAAGUGGAGACUCUAAUAAAUAAAUAAUCUUAUUUCGAAUAAUGUCACUUAAAAUGAAAAAACUCUCGUAUACAUUUAUCCCUCGGGGUAGGUGCGUAAAAAGGAGGUGUGACAGUAUGCACAAGAUUUGUUUGGGUUAACACACUGAUAAAAGCUCUUAGGUGUUUCAGCAGGGAUGGGGGUGACAUAACCAGCAGCGUUGAGUCUCUCAUACAACUAGUCAAUGGGUUCAGCAAUGGCUGUAUAUUGUUUUGGGGGUAUGCAGUCAAAAUUAGGCCGGUGUCUAGGGAAGUUUUGGUGUGCAGGGGGUGAUUGGUAAUGGGGUGGUUGAGCAUUAUAGGUUUGGUAUACAUGAGUGAGUUGGGAGUAUCCGGGUGAAGUAGGUUGGUAUGUAGGAGGUGGAAGUGACUGAUAAGUUGGUGGUGGAGCUUGAUAUGAGGGUGAGGGUGCUUGGUAGUUCAGAUUUGGCUAAUAUGUGAGUGGAGGUGUUAGGUAAGUUUGGUAUUUGAUGAGAGAUUUGGUCCUUUGUGCAACCAUUACGGCCCUCACAUCCCUUUUUUUAGACACACCACCGGACUGUAAAGCCUUAUUGGUAGCUUGCAAGGCCUCGAAGUUUGUAACCAUACUGCUUUUGAUGCAUUCUUCAUUUCUUUUCACCCAAUUUGAUAAUGCCGGAGAAUUUUUGAUUCUCAAUCAUCAUCGGCCGUUCAUAGUACUGUGGGUCCUGACCCCAAACAAAGAACUUGUUUAUCUGCUCCUCUUCUAAGGCAGGUCUAACCUUGGCAGCUUCGGGCCUCUAGCGAGUAGCAUACUCGCGAAAUAUUUCUGUAUGCUUCUUCUUUAGAUUCUGAAUGUAGAACACAUUCAGCACAUUCUCCGUAUUAAACCUGAACCUAUCCAUAAAGUCGGACGUCAUGCCUACGCAACUUGACCACUUCUUUGGAUCUUAGCUCAUGUACUAAGACAAUGCAUCUCUCUUCAGGAAAAGCUUCAUGCGGAUUCUUUCAUCAUUUCAUACUCAAACCAGCUUAUCGCAGUAUGUCCUUAGAUGGACCCUUGGAUCACUCGUACCAUGAAACAUCUCGAACGUAGGGGGUUUGUAGCCCCCGGGCAGUUUGACGUCAGGCUGUAUGCAAAGAUCCUCAUAGUCCAGCACAUCGAUUCCCUUGCUUCCCUCAACGCGCUGAAUUUGGCUAGUCAAUUUCUUAAGUUCCUCAGCCAUAUUUCUGAUAAGCAGAUCAUUUUUUUUGACUUAGGUGUGUUUGAGAUAGGUUGGGUGGAGUGUAGCAUAGUCUCCACAUAGAUAGGGGUGUUAUAGUAGCCGGGUGUAUGGGUAAGGAAAUGGUCCUUUGUGGAGUUUUGAGGUUCUGGGAUGAGUAUUGGGGUGUUGUUUAGGAUAUGGCAGAUGCUGCAUUGGGUUUUAGUGGAACAAUGUGUUGCUUGGGGAUGUUUUACGGAGGUGUAGGGUUUUGAGUGUUGGGAGUUGAUAUCUGGGGUGCUGAGGGGAAAUGACAGGUUUGCCAAAUUCUGAACCUGAUCAAGUCAUUCCUGAAAUUUUAGCAGCUUUUGUUCAAGUUAUGACCCAUUCUCCUUAGGAACCUGAGUACUAUAGCCAUUAGUAGUCUUUACCUGUUCAUUUGGAUUCUCCUUUCUGUUGUUAUUUAGAUUUUUCAUCUUGCUUUUGUUCUUGUUUCUGACAGGACUAAGCAGAGGAGUGGUUAGAGGGCCCCUGGAUCUCAUGGAAUAAGAUAAUUUUGCCAGAGUGUACGAACUAACCUUUAGUGAGUGGAAUAAUAAAAGAAAAAUAGAAAUAGAAAACAAAAAAGGUAAUCAAGUCGGUGAGGAUUAUAAAAAGCAUUGCGGUAUUUAAAUAUGUAGUGUGGGAAUGUAAAGCGUGUCCUAAUUAGGAAACCUAUUUGUGCCUGAGGUAGGUGUAAACAGCUCAGCCCUCUAGUGAUAUUGUCCACAUUGGGCCUAGUCCCUCACUGGUUUAAAAUGCGUCACAAGGGUUAAAAGGCUUGUUAACUUAUAUACCGAACAUCCCUCUUAUGUUUUGCCAAUGUGAUACUCUUUAUUGGGUAUUACACACACCCCCUCUUAUUGACUCAGCAUCCUCACUUAGAUUUGCCCCACCGCAUGGGAUUUUCCUAGACUCGCCACUGAGGUUUGCCCCGCCUAACCGGAAUUUGCCUAAACUCAGUUGAACUCUGACCCACCAUCAGCAAGGCUGACACAAGAGUGGCUCUAAUACCAUCUGUAACAGCCCAGCCCGCUAGUGAUAUUGUCCGUUUUCGGCAUAGGCCCUCAAGGGUUUAAAACGCAUUACUAGGGUUUAAGGUUUGUUAACUUAUAUACCCAAUAUCUCUCUUAUGUUUUGCCGAUGUGGGACUCUGUCUAUAGUCUAGGGUGUUACAUACACCCCCUCUUAUUAACUCAACGUCCUCGCUGAGGUUUGUCUCACCGCAUGGGAUUUUCCUAGACUCAGCACUGAGAUUUGCCCUGCCUAACUGUGAUUUUCCUAAACUCAAUUGAACUCUGACCCACCAUCAGCAAGGCUGACACAAAACCGGCUCUGAUUCUAUCUGUAACAGCCCAGUCCGCUAUUGAUGUUGUCUGCUGAUGUUCAAAAUGUUAAUACCACACAAGAAGGGGCGACGAUUUGUAUGGUACCCAAUUUUUCAAUCUAGAAGAACCUGGUUUUUCUAGGUGUUCUAAUUACUACUGUUGCGGAAUUAAAAGUACAGAAAAUAAAGAAUACAAAUAUUUUUAUAUGGAAAAGACAUGGCUUAAAAGGUGAGUAAAUCACGGCCUACUACUUUAUAGGGUUUUCCCCAACAUCCACUAAAACCAAUAAGCCAAAAUAACAUUUACAGAACUCUUGUAAUCCUAAGGAUUAACUCUAAUCCCUCUGUAGCACACAACCUCAACUAUUGCGAUGCUUUCAAUUUAACUCUAACUUUAAUACUCAAAGUUCCCAAUACAAUUGCUUCUAUGGAUGCUAGAAAGAUACAAUUUUAAACCACCUAUUAUAAUUAAACUAGAAUAUGAAUAAACACAAUGGAACUGGUUCUUUUAUGUCGUUAAAGUAGCUUCAGGAGUGCACACUUAAAUCUCACAUAAAUUGCUUGCAAAAUUGCCUUGCUCUUUUGCUCUAAAUUUAGUUUAACUUCUGCGUAUGUGUAAUACAUGUAAAAGAGAACAAUCACAAUUAUUUAAUGAGUUAGUAAUUAGAGUUUGAUUAAGACUCAAUUUUCGAUCCUUUUAUCGAAUUUGAGUCCUAGAACAAUACAAAUUCCAAUCCUUAUCCUUGAUCCAAAUUAAGUUCUCUUCAAGGAGACUUCAUCUCCUCAUCCUUUACGUAACCUUUUCGAUCAGUUCGGAAGAUAUUACUGCUUGAUCGUUAAGACUUAUCUUCUUCACGUGCAUCUCACAUGUAUAAGUAGAUAACCAUCGUGUCUCACAUGAUGGACUGGUCCAAGACUGAGUUCAUUUGUCAAUCUUCAAAACCUCAUCUGAACUUGGGCCAACAAAAUUUCCCAUUUUUGAUGAUGACAAACUAUGUGAUUUUACUAAUCAUAGAACAUGUGGAACUCAGUUGAAUUAUCAACCUUUUAACUUAGAAAUAUUAACUUAUCAUUAAAGACCAGGUUUAAUCAGGUUAUAAAUAUCACUUUAUUUCAGAAUAAAAAAUAAAGCACAUUAUCUCUAUCCCCUUUAGACAUCAUCGAAAAGUUGCAUCUAAUGUGACUCCUAGAUUUUAAUCAUUACUCAUGGCCACUGGUGCAACUGCAAGUGAAAGCAUGGUUUAGUUAAUCAAUAAUCAACUUGACAAAUAUCUUUUAUUAAGAUCAGAAUCUUCAUAAAGCAAGAGAAAAAGUAAAUUUUCAUUGAUUAGGAAAUGUUUCUACAAAUCUGACCACAAAAAGAAAGAAAAAACAUCCAACCAUGACCAAUAAAAACAAAGAAAAGUCUGGAAUUUAGGUCACUGGAGAGGGGGAGGGUUCUAGACUGGUUCAAAGAUAGGAACUGGAAGACCUAAGGCUUAGAGGAACUAGAGGGUUGGGAUUGGAUAAGAUUAAGCAUAGUCAGAAACAUCCCUUCACUCAUUUCCUUUUCCUUUGCUAGCCCAGCUUACUGUCCAUUUCUCGCAUUUUCCAGUUCAACAACACAAGCCUUGAGCCUAACAAUUUCAUAAUCUUUUGUUCCACAUUCUUGAACCAAGGCCCUAACCUUGCUUUUCACAGGAGUACUCAGAGAUGAACCAGGUUCAAUUGGGAUACAAUGAGGACAUAGUCACAAGCCUACAAAGUUUUGACACCAAAAUGCUCCUUGCAGGAAGCCAUCUCCCAUUUCUU
rnacentral:lncRNA from 1 species